rnacentral:rRNA from 1 species
GGGUGCGACCAUACCCGCACUAACGUACCGGAUCCCAUCAGAACUUCGAAGUUAAGCGUGCUUGGGCGAGAGUAGAACUAGGAUGGGUGAACCUCUGGGACGUCCUCGUGUUGCACCCC